AGCGAACGCUGGCGGCAGGCCUAACACAUGCAAGUCGAACGAACUCUUCGGAGUUAGUGGCGGACGGGUGAGUAACACGUGGGAACGUGCCUUUUGGUUCGGAAUAACUCAGGGAAACUUGUGCUAAUACCGAAUGUGCCCUUCGGAGGAAAGAUUUAUCGCCAUUAGAGCGGCCCGCGUCUGAUUAGCUAGUUGGUGAGGUAACGGCUCACCAAGGCGACGAUCAGUAGCUGGUCUGAGAGGAUGACCAGCCACACUGGGACUGAGACACGGCCCAGACUCCUACGGGAGGCAGCAGUGGGGAAUCUUGCACAAUGGGCGAAAGCCUGACGCAGCCAUGCCGCGUGAAUGAUGAAGGUCGUAGGAUUGUAAAAUUCUUUCACCGGGGACGAUAAUGACGGUACCCGGAGAAGAAGCCCCGGCUAACUUCGUG
rnacentral:rRNA from 1 species